AAUCAUGCUCUAAGUUAUCGUCUUAGAUGAGGUAUCUUAGUUUAGCACUCAUCUUUGGGUUUUACUUAACAUAUGGGUUUUACUUAACAAUUUAAUAUAUUCUACUAAGGCCUAAGGCCCAUGGGCCUUACAUAGAGCCUUCUUUAACCGACAUGAUACUCGAGUGUUGACUCCUUUCUCCUCAUUCUUCUUCCGGUGAGAGAGAUUUGGAAAACCGAAAGCGCGAUUUAGCCAGGUUUCAACCCCUUCAAGCCAACAUGAGUAGGCCAAUGGAAGAGGAUACCAACG